AUAGUUUGUUUUACACGUAGCGCUAAGACAUAGUUUAUUUAUCCUAACUAUGGUUGUCUGAAUGUGCAAACCCAGCCCAGCUAAACAAACUAUGUCUUAGCGCUACGUGUAAAACAAACCAU